rnacentral:rRNA from 1 species
UACGUAGGGUGCGAGCGUUAAUCGGAAUUACUGGGCGUAAAGCGUGCGCAGGCGGUCGUGUAAGACAGGUGUGAAAUCCCCGGGCUCAACCUGGGAACCGCAUUUGUGACUGCACGGCUUGAGUGCGGCAGAGGGGAAUGGAAUUCCGCGUGUAGCAGUGAAAUGCGUAGAUAUGCGGAGGAACACCGAUGGCGAAGGCAGUUCCCUGGGCCUGCACUGACGCUCAUGCACGAAAGCGUGGGGAGCAAACAGG